rfam:Macaca mulatta chromosome 18, whole genome shotgun sequence.
AGUGUGAGACCUCGGGCUACAACACAGGACCCGGGUGCUGCUCUGACCCCUCGUGUCUUGUGUUGCAGCCGGAGGGACGCA